rnacentral:misc_RNA from 1 species
GAUGAAGAACGCAGCGAAAUGCGAUACGUAAUGUAAAUUGCAGAAUUCAGUGAAUCAUCGAAUCUUUGAACGCAUAUUGCGCUCUCUGGUAUUCCGGAGAGCAUGCUUGUUUGAGUAUCAGUAAACACCUCAACUUCCAUAUCUUUUUUGAAAUGGGAGUUGGACUUGAGUGAUCCCAACGCUUUUCCUCACCGAAAAGUGGCGGGUUACUUGAAAUGCAGGUGCAGCUGGACUUUUCUCUGAGCUAUAAGCAUAUCUAUUUAGUCUGCCUAAAAAACAGAUUAUUACCUUUGCUGCAGCUAACAUAAAGGAGAUUAGUUCUUGUGCUGACUGAUGCAGGAUUCACAAAGACAGCUUCGGCCGACUUUGUAAACUCGAUCUCAAAUCAAGUAAGACUACCCGCUGAACUUAAGCAUAUCAAUAAGCGGAGGA